GUUCUAUGUCCUCUAGGCCAUUGAGCCUGGAGUGUCAUUGAGAGUACUGUGAGCAAUCUUGCCUUGCAGUUAACCACUUAAUAAACUCUUUAUUCAUAAGUAGAUGUUGGGGGAAAAGGAUAACUUCACAGUAAUAGAAACUGCAGUUUAGAUACACAGCCCACACACCGAGCAGGCCCUGAUGGCACUGAUUCAGUGUGGGGUGGUUAGUAAUUGGCAGCUCUUCAUUUUAGAAGCUGCAUGUGUUAUACACAAAGCUCGCUGGUACAGGAAUCAACACUGGCUCAGCCCCUAGUAUCAAAUCCUCAAAGGCCACUCAGACUCCCAGAAGGGAAAAACCCUGAAAGCCAACAUUUUUUCCCAAGGCAACACUAUAUUAUCUUUGACAUUCUGUUCCCUUAUCUAAGAAAAGAGAAUCCAAUUCUUCCUGCUUUCCCAGAGCAGUAUUUGAACUGUUAGAAGCAAUACUUGUUUCUUAUUUUCUUCUAUCAAGAUCAUUACUUUCACGCAACUUUGUCAAAGUAAAUUAGGGAUUUUGCAAGAGCCAGUGGGCAGGUAGUUUCUUGUUAGAUAUUUAUGCCUAACUGUGUCACCAUUAUUUUUACAAAUAGGCUUGUUCAUCUCAGAUGGUUCUCAGUACUUGCCUAGGUAGAAAAGCAAGAAAGAGCUCCUGAAACCCUCCGGGAUGGAGUUGGGAGCUAGGGAAGCAGAAGUGCUAAGAGGGCCAGAGACCAGAGAAAGCUUGUGGUUGGGCCAAAAAAGGAACAAAAUGCUAGACCUUGAAACUAAAGGCCAUGGAAAUAACCACAGACAUCUGUAGCAAAAGCCAGAGCAUGAACCCAAAGACAGAGGCGAAGGUGAGGGCUGGAAGCAGAAACAAACUCCUAUCACGGGAAGUAAAUGGGAACAGAGCAUGGCCACAUGGUGGAUGAGCCUCCCCAAGAGCUUAAGAGCUUAGCACACUCCCAGGAACAGCAGAGAAAGUGAGCAGGCAGGGGAAGAGUCCCAGAUUUGACUGAGCCCUUACCCAACAGAGAUUUAAAAAUCUGCAAGUAGGCCGGGUGUGGUGGCUAAUGCCUGUAAUCCCAGCACUUUGGGAGGCAGAGGCAGGUGGAUCAUUUGAGGCCAAGAGUUCAAGACCAGCCUGGCCAAAAUCAUGAAACCCCAUCUCUACUAGAAUUACAAAAAAUUAGCUGGGCAUGGUAGUGUGUGCCUGUAGUCCCAGCUAUGGGGAGGCUAAGGCACAAGAAUCCCUGGAACCCACGAGACGGAGGCUGCAGUGAGCCAAAAUGGCGCCACUGCACUCCAGCCUGGGUGACACAGCAAGACUCUGUCUUAAAAAAAAAGAAACGAAAAGUAAAGAAAAGAAAGUGGUACUAGAGUUACCUUCUUGGCUACAGAUUCAUCUGAAAUUUCCAAGCAAACAUUUCUGAUGCAAGUUUUCACUGCCUUCUUAGCAAUUACAUAUAGAGUUGCAGUGUGACUGACCUGAUGUAUUCAUUUAUAUGUAGCAGCAAAGCACUGAUGUUUAAAUGAGAAAUUCUGAGCAUUUGCUUCUGUUAGCUCGCUGACUCAAUAUUCUUUUUUCAAGUAAUUUCUUGGAC
rnacentral:lncRNA from 1 species